rnacentral:lncRNA from 10 species
AAACCUGCUAAGUUGGCAGAGCUGGCCCUGCUACCAGCAGCAGACAACACUCCUCCAGUCUACAUGAGCAGAGCUAUGAGGAGAAAGGAAAUUUGAUGAGUUUUCAGGAAUGUAACUUCUCACUGAGAGAUUAUUUGGGGAUGGAGAGGGUUGCCUCUCCAAGGGGCCAAGCGAAUGAAGAGGGCACACCAAGAGCAUCAUUUACUGGAAAGGGGGCUGCUGGAGAAAAGAGCACCAAUAUCUCACUUGCCUAUUGGAAGUCUGCUUAUGCAGUAGCCUUGCUAAUUCUUUGUACUCUACCAAGCUAAGAAGAAAUUAAUUAGAUUAAAAUGGCAGGCUGAAGGGUAGCUUUGCAUCAAAGCAGCCUGCACGAUAAUAUUAGGUUGGCAUAAAAGUAAUUGUGGUUUUUACCAUUAAGUGACAUGGGAAGGAUGAGUGACCAUUGGAUGGGUAAAGUGAACACUGUUGACAAUAACCAGGAUUGAGCCAUCUUUCUGGUAUGCAAACUAAUAGUACCUGCUACUAAUCAGGUGACGGGCUGCCAAAAUAGGUAGCCACUAGCUGAAUGACAAGAAGCGGCAAAACAAGAAAAUAUCAAGCCAGAGAGGAUCCUUGCUGUGAGCCAUGUGUAAGUGAGAGAGGCAACAUUUGAGGACACAGAGAGGAACUAAUAGUGCUAAUUUGCAGUGGGCACAGAGAGGAACUAAUACACAGAGGGCACAGCGAGGAACAAAUAUGCAGGGGGCACAGAGAGGAACUAAUAUGCAGGGGGCACAGGGAAGAACUAUGCAGAGGACACAGAGAGGAACUAAUAUGCAGAGGACAGAGAGAGGAACUAAUAUGCAGGGGGCACAGAGAGGAACUAAUAUGCAAGGGGCACAGGGAAGAACUAUGCAGAGGAAACAGAGAGGAACUAACAUGCAGAGGACAGAGAGAGGAACUAACGUGCAGAGGACAGAGAGAGAAUUAAUAGUGCUAAUCGUGCAAAUGGCUUUUGCCUCUUUUCUCUAAUCCCUCCUUUUUGCCCCAACAAUGGAGGAAUCAGGACCAGAGAAGAGGGGUAAGAAAAAUAAAAAAGUGCAGCUCUUCUGCAUUUCAGGUCUCUCAAACUGGGGCCUGGCUGGCAUCAGAGAGAGGGAAUAAUAUGAGCUCUGAUUUAGAAGGGACAUUGAUUAACUUAACCAAAAUGAACUUCACCAGAAAACCAAAAGAUCUCUGCCUCGCAUACAUCAAUGUGUGGGAAAGGGAGUUUCAAGAGAAUGUCUCUGCAAAUAUUGCCUGCAGAAAUAAAUGAGUUAUGUCUGAGCCCCACCAAAUUAAUAAACUGGUUUCACAAGUAAUCUUUGACCAGUUACUCAAUAUCACUGAGCUUCAAAACUGGGUUACCUCAUUUAAAACACUGAGGUGCUAGUACCACACCUUUAUACAUUUAUUAUGUAAUCUCUAUGACUGCAUAUCAUAUGGCUGAUGUUCUUCAGACACAAUAUAUGAUUAGAGACUGGCAGUUCUAUUAUAUGGCACUGCAGAAAGUUAGAGCCCUUCAUCAAGUAAAAACCUUUAAGAAGUCAAAGCAAGGUUCAUUUGUGGAAUAGCCCCUUCUCUGUGGCAUUGAUAUGGCAUGCCAAUUUUGUCAUAUAAUGAGGUUCCACACAAGCAUGGUUCUGUUUCUCAGCAUUCUGACUGUUUCUGCACCUAUGCCACACUGAAUAACCAAAGCUCAAGAGUUAAGUCAUCUGGUUUAACAGGUAUCUCAUCACUUCUUUUCUUCUGAGCAUCUUAUAUAUUCUUUGUUCUUUACUCUUCCACAAAAACCUUAAAAUCACAUUCUUGAGUUUUAUAAAUAAUUACUUCGGAAUUUUGAUUGGAACAACACUGAUCAAUUUAGAAAGAAUCAUUAUUUCACACUAUUGUCAUCUUGCCCAUGAACGUGAUACGUCUUAAUUGGUUCCUCUAAUUCGUAUCAUUUUCUCUGUAUUUUUUACAUCAUAUAUUUAUUCUUAGAUACUUGAUAUUCUCUCAUACAAUUUUAAGUUAUAUAUUAUCUUUAAUUAAACUUUCUAGUUUGCUGCCUUUGUAUAGAAAUGCAACUGAAAUUUCUGUACUAAUUGUCUCUAUGCAUCAAUUUUUAUCUACAACC